CGAUUCUGGCUCAGGAUGAACGCUAGCGACAGGCUUAACACAUGCAAGUCGAGGGGCAGCAUAAAAGUAGCAAUACUUGGUGGCGACCGGCGCACGGGUGAGUAACGCGUAUGCAACCUACCUAUCAGAGGGGAAUAACCCGGCGAAAGUCGGACUAAUACCGCAUAAAACAGGGGCACCGCAUGGUGAUAUUUGUUAAAGAAAUUCGCUGAUAGAUGGGCAUGCGUUCCAUUAGGUAGUUGGUGAGGUAACGGCUCACCAAGCCGACGAUGGAUAGGGGAACUGAGAGGUUGGUCCCCCACACUGGUACUGAGACACGGACCAGACUCCUACGGGAGGCAGCAGUGAGGAAUAUUGGUCAAUGGGCGGGAGCCUGAACCAGCCAAGUCGCCGUGAAGGAAGAAGGAUCUAUGGUUCGUAAACUUCUUUUGCAGGGGAAUAAAGUGCAGGACGUGUCCUGUUUUGUAUGUACCCUGAGAAUAAGGAUCGGCUAACUCCGUGCCAGCCGCCGC
rnacentral:rRNA from 1 species